GAUGAACGCUGGCGGCGUGCCUAAUACAUGCAAGUCGAGCGAACAGACGAGGAGCUUGCUCCUCUGACGUUAGCGGCGGACGGGUGAGUAACACGUGGAUAACCUACCUAUAAGACUGGGAUAACUUCGGGAAACCGGAGCUAAUACCGGAUAAUAUAUUGAACCGCAUGGUUCAAUAGUGAAAGACGGUUUUGCUGUCACUUAUAGAUGGAUCCGCGCCGCAUUAGCUAGUUGGUAAGGUAACGGCUUACCAAGGCAACGAUGCGUAGCCGACCUGAGAGGGUGAUCGGCCACACUGGAACUGAGACACGGUCCAGACUCCUACGGGAGGCAGCAGUAGGGAAUCUUCCGCAAUGGGCGAAAGCUUGACGGAUCAACGCCGCGUGAGUGAUGAAGGUCUUCGGAUCGUAAAACUCUGUUAUUAGGGAAGAACAAAUGUGUAAGUAACUAUGCACGUCUUGACGGUACCUAAUCAGAAAGCCACGGCUAACUACGUG
rnacentral:rRNA from 1 species